rnacentral:rRNA from 1 species
GCGGCGUGCUUACACAUGCAAGUCGAGUGCGCGCCCGUAGCAAUACGGGUGGCGCACGGCGCACGGGUGCGUAACACGUGGGCAAUCUGCCCUCCGAUGGGGAAUAACCCCGCGAAAGCGGGGCUAAUUCCGCAUAACAUUCCUUGGACUUCGGUUUGGGGACUCAAAGGCGUAAGUCGUCGGAGGAGGAGCCCGCGCACGAUUAGCUAGUUGGUAGGGUAACGGCCUACCAAGGCUUUGAUCGUUAGCUGGUCUGAGAGGAUGGCCAGCCACACUGGAACUGAGACACGGUCCAGACUCCUACGGGAGGCAGCAGUGGGGAAUCUUGCACAAUGGGCGAAAGCCUGAUGCAGCGACGCCGCGUGGGGGAUGAAGCUUCUCGGAGUGUAAACCCCUUUCGACCCGGACGAAUACCCUGCAAAGGGGGUGACGGUACGGGUAUAAGAAGCCCCGGCUAACUACGUGCCAGCAGCCGCGGUAAGACGUGGGGGGCCAGCGUUGCUCGGAAUUACUGGGUGUAAAGGGUCAGUAGGCGGUGUGGCAAGUCGGGAGUGAAAUCUCUGGGCUUAACUCA